UUUUAUGAGAGUUUGAUCCUGGCUCAGGACGAACGCUGGCGGCGUGCCUAAUACAUGCAAGUCGAACGCUUCUUUUUCCACCGGAGCUUGCUCCACCGGAAAAAGAGGAGUGGCGAACGGGUGAGUAACACGUGGGUAACCUGCCCAUCAGAAGGGGAUAACACUUGGAAACAGGUGCUAAUACCGUAUAACAAUCGAAACCGCAUGGUUUUGAUUUGAAAGGCGCUUUCGGGUGUCGCUGAUGGAUGGACCCGCGGUGCAUUAGCUAGUUGGUGAGGUAACGGCUCACCAAGGCGACGAUGCAUAGCCGACCUGAGAGGGUGAUCGGCCACAUUGGGACUGAGACACGGCCCAAACUCCUACGGGAGGCAGCAGUAGGGAAUCUUCGGCAAUGGACGAAAGUCUGACCGAGCAACGCCGCGUGAGUGAAGAAGGUUUUCGGAUCGUAAAACUCUGUUGUUAGAGAAGAACAAGGAUGAGAGUAACUGUUCAUCCCUUGACGGUAUCUAACCAGAAAGCCACGGCUAACUACGUGCCAGCAGCCGCGGUAAUACGUAGGUGGCAAGCGUUGUCCGGAUUUAUUGGGCGUAAAGCGAGCGCAGGCGGUUUCUUAAGUCUGAUGUGAAAGCCCCCGGCUCAACCGGGGAGGGUCAUUGGAAACUGGGAGACUUGAGUGCAGAAGAGGAGAGUGGAAUUCCAUGUGUAGCGGUGAAAUGCGUAGAUAUAUGGAGGAACACCAGUGGCGAAGGCGGCUCUCUGGUCUGUAACUGACGCUGAGGCUCGAAAGCGUGGGGAGCAAACAGGAUUAGAUACCCUGGUAGUCCACGCCGUAAACGAUGAGUGCUAAGUGUUGGAGGGUUUCCGCCCUUCAGUGCUGCAGCUAACGCAUUAAGCACUCCGCCUGGGGAGUACGACCGCAAGGUUGAAACUCAAAGGAAUUGACGGGGGCCCGCACAAGCGGUGGAGCAUGUGGUUUAAUUCGAAGCAACGCGAAGAACCUUACCAGGUCUUGACAUCCUUUGACCACUCUAGAGAUAGAGCUUCCCCUUCGGGGGCAAAGUGACAGGUGGUGCAUGGUUGUCGUCAGCUCGUGUCGUGAGAUGUUGGGUUAAGUCCCGCAACGAGCGCAACCCUUAUUGUUAGUUGCCAUCAUUUAGUUGGGCACUCUAGCAAGACUGCCGGUGACAAACCGGAGGAAGGUGGGGAUGACGUCAAAUCAUCAUGCCCCUUAUGACCUGGGCUACACACGUGCUACAAUGGGAAGUACAACGAGUCGCAAAGUCGCGAGGCUAAGCUAAUCUCUUAAAGCUUCUCUCA
rnacentral:rRNA from 1 species